rnacentral:ncRNA from 1 species
UUGGAUCAGGUCUGUGGUUGCAAGUCGACGCCAGUCGCAGGCGAAACGAUCCACGUAAGCAGGGCAAAGUCCCUGUGAGCAUGGUGCGGCUUAGAAGUAAGUCCGGCCAGCCUUGCGCUGAGAGGGUCAGUAGUGGGAGGGCAAACGCCCCAUGAGCGAACGCCCCGGCCGGCGAGUGUGGGGGCAAAGACCAGGUCAGCUGAAUGCCAA